UCUAGUUGAUCCUGCUAGACCCGAGUGCUAUUCGAUUGGUACUAAGCCAUGCGAGUCGAAGGGUGGUUAAUGGCCCACCCUGGCAGACGGCUCAGGAACGCGUUGUGAAUCUACCCCGUGGUCCGCAAUAAUCCCGGGAAACUGGGGCUAAUGGCGGGCAUCCGAGGCACCCUGGAAUGGAGCCUCGCUGAAAGGAGCACACCUAAACGUGUUUUCCGCCGCGGGAUGACACCGCGCUCGAUUAUGCUUGAUGGUGGGGUAACGGCCCACCAUGGCUCUGAUCGAUACCGGACAUGGGAGUGUGAGCCGGGAGAAAAGGACUGAGACACGGCCUUUAGCCUUACGAGGCGCAGCAGGCGAGAAACCUCUGCAAUGCACGAAAGUGUGACGGGGCCAAUCGAAGUGCUCUCCUUGGCGGAGAGCUGUGGCGACAAGUAUGAGAUGUCGCAAGAAAGGCGAGGGCAAGGCUGGUGCCAGCCGCCGCGGUAAAACCAGCUCGUCAAGUGCUCGGGACUUUUACUGAGCUUAAAGCAGGCGUAGCUGGGCUCGUUAGUCCGUGGUUAAAUCCAGGCGCUCAACGCCUGGGCUGCUGCGGAUACUGCGAGCCUUGGGACCGGAAGAGGUAAGGGGUACGCGCGGGGUACCGGUGAAAUGGGAUAAUCCUGCGCGGACCACCGGUGGCGAAGGCGCCUUACCAGGACGGGUUCGGCAGUGAGGCCUGAAAGCCUGGGGAGCAAAGCGGAUUAGAUACCCGUGUAGUCCAGGCUGUAAACGAUGCGCGCUAAGUGUAGCGGCUGCCAAGAGCUACCGCUGUGCUGAAGCGAAAGCGAUAAGCGCGCCGCUUGGGGAGUACGGUCGCAAGACUGAAACUUAAAGGAAUUGGCGGGGGAGCACCACAAGGGGUGAAGCCUGCGGUUUAAUUGGACACAACGCCAGAAACCUUACCGGGGGCGCCAGCUGUAUGAGGACAGGCUGACGACCUUUCCUGACUGGCUAAGAGGUAGUGCAUGGCCGUCGCCAGUUCGUGUCGUGAGAUGUCUUGUUAAGUCAAGUAACGAACGAAACCCGUGUCCUUAGUUGCUACCGAAUGCGUUGUGACGCACCGGGCCCACUAAGGAGACCGAUACUGCUAAAGUAUAGGAAGGUGCGGGCCACGGCAGGUCAGUAUGCUCCGAAUCCACCCGGGCCACACGCGGGCUGCAACGGCAGGGACAAUGCGCUGCUACUCCGAAAGGAGACGCUAAUCGUGAAACCCUGUCUCAGAUGGGAUUGCGGGCUGAAACUCGCCCGCAUGAACUUGGAAUCCCCAGUAUCCGGGUGUCAACAACGCCCGGAGAAUACGUCUCUUCUCCUUGUACACACCGCCCGUCGCUUCAUGCGAGUGGCUCAAGUGCGAGACUCGUUCUUUUGGGCGGGUCGAGUAUUGGGGCCGCAAGUGGGAAGAAGUCGUAACAAGGUA
rnacentral:rRNA from 1 species